UACGAAGGGGGCUAGCGUUGCUCGGAAUUACUGGGCGUAAAGCGCACGUAGGCGGUCUUUUAAGUCAGGGGUGAAAUCCCGGAGCUCAACUCCGGAACUGCCUUUGAUACUGGCGACCUUGAGGCUGGAAGAGGUUAGUGGAAUUCCCAGUGUAGAGGUGAAAUUCGUAGAUAUUGGGAAGAACACCAGUGGCGAAGGCGGCUAACUGGUCCAGAUCUGACGCUGAGGUGCGAAAGCGUGGGGAGCAAACAGG
rnacentral:rRNA from 1 species